CUACGGGCGGCUGCAGUGGGGAAUAUUGGGCAAUGGGCGCAAGCCUGACCCAGCAACGCCGCGUGAGGGAAGAAGGUUUUCGGAUUGUAAACCUCUGUCCUUGGGGACGAAGUAGUGACGGUACCCAAGGAGGAAGCUCCGGCUAACUACGUGCCAGCAGGCCGCGGUAAUACGUAGGGAGCAAGCGUUGUCCGGAAUUACUGGGCGUAAAGGGUGCGUAGGCGGCAUAUUAAGUCAGGUGUGAAAUACUCGGGCUCAACCCGGGGGCUGCAUUUGAAACUGAUAUGCUUGAGUGUGAGAGAGGAAAGUGGAAUUCCUAGUGUAGCGGUGGAAUGCGUAGAUAUUAGGAGGAACACCAGUGGCGAAGGCGACUUUCUGGCUCAUAACUGACGCUGAGGCACGAAAGCGUGGGGAGCAAACAGGAUUAGAUACCCCGGUAGUC
rnacentral:rRNA from 1 species